rnacentral:sRNA from 1 species
AUGAAUAUAAAACAUGUGCCACAUGAACAGGGACGAAUUUAAUUUUUCUCAAUAAAAUAUACUCACUGUACCAGUCACGUGGUCACACAAAGUUCCGGCUACAGAAUAUUCCACAACCUGAUCGUUGUCUACAAGUAGGAAGUGUGUCUUCAACAACUUAAAUGUGAAAUAUACUCACUGUACCAGUCACUUGGUCACACAAAGUUCCGGCUACAGAAUAUUCUACAACCUGAUCGUUGUCUACAAGUAGGAAGUGUGUCUUCAACAACUUAAAUGUGAAAUAUACUCACUGUACCAGUCACGUGGUCACACAGAGUUCCGGCUACAGAAUAUUCUACAACCUGAUCGUUGUCUACAAGUAGGAAGUGUGUCUUCAACAACUUAAAUGUGGUAAGUGAAAAGUAUUUUUUUUAAUGAAUAAAAAAGAUAAGUAGACAUUUGACUUUGAUAUCUAUACGAAAGUUAAAUUAUCCAUCUUGAUAUUUUAUCAACAAUACUGAGAUUGAAUGUGCACUUUUAUUUAAAAUGAUUUAUGAUCUCAGUCGAAUAUGUUCAGAGUUCCUUGACCUAAAUAAUUUGUACAAAUGCGAUAGAUUCCAUGGAUUUAUAAACAAUAGAUAUAUGCAUGACCACCCAAUUAUUCAUUUUUUUAAAAUACCAAUAAUGCCCAUUUAUUUGUUCAAGAAUGGCGACUG